rnacentral:lncRNA from 1 species
UGCUAUGCUAGUUAUAACACGUGUUUUUGUUUCAUUCCCCACACACUGUAAGGUGGGCAUCGCUGGGCCCAUCACACAGGUGAAACGGAAGCCUGGAGAUCACUCAUCACCUUGUCCAGUCAUAUAACUAGUAGCCAAGGCAGAAUUUGAACUGAGGUUGCCCUCAGUUCCAAAACCUGUGUACUUAACCCGUGUUCUCUCCUGCUGGUGUCUGUGUGAUGCCCCAUGUCUGUCUCUCUCUAAAGGGACAGUGACACACCAACAGGAUACCUAGAUGCUGGGGGGCCUUGGGACAGAGUCUGAGAGGAUUGAGUAAAGGAGCAGCUGAGGGUGAGCCUGGAGAGAAUGCCCCCUGGUGGAGAGUUUAGGUAGAAGGGGGAUUAGGUCUCCGGGAGGAACCAGAUCUAUGUGGUCUGCUGAGGUGACUGGGUCUGGCAUUCACAUGUGCCACCCAACAGAACAGACCCUGGAGGGAUGCCCCCUUGCUGGGGGGCAGCCGUGGGAUUCCGGGGUCUGCCUUGGAGGUCCUGGAGAGGAUGUCAUGGCCCUGGCCCUAGAUUCAAGCUGCCUGGGUCCAGUUCAGCCCGGCCACUCCUGCUGUGGGCCCUAGCCAGGGGCCUCCACACCACCGAGUGCUGUGUGUUGGGUGUGUGGUGUUACCCAGGCUGUGUGCUUAGCCGUGUGCCUGACAGCCAGUGCUGAUGUCAGCCAUUACAGGGACACACGUGCCUGGAGGUUGAGGCCACGUUCUGUCACCUGGGCCCACUCAUGUGGUCCUCGGCUGGGCCAACCCCCACUUUGAAAGGAUUCCUUUUUGCCCCUGGUGUAGACUCUCAUUGUCCGAGUGAACAGCUACAUCUUUUUAACAAGCCAGAAAAGGCCAGCUGGCAGUGACUCUGCCUGUAAUCCCAACACUGGGUGGCCGAAGCAGGAGGAUCACUUGAGGCUAGCCCGGCCAACGUAAGCAAGACUCUGUCUCUACCAAAAAAAAAACAAAGAACAAAAAAGACCAACCAGCCACAGCCACAGAUAGACCUGGGGUUCACAGGGGGCCUGGGGACCCUGAGCGGCGUCAGGUGUCAUCCUUCGCCCUGGCUCUCUCUGGAGACUCACGCAGUGGCCCCGACUACAGGAAUCUUUAAGAUGAGAUGCAAAUAGUGACUCCCCCUUUGGCCCCCUCCCCUGUACAGGACACUCAAGUCU